UACGAAGGGGCUAGCGUUGCUCGGAAUCACUGGGCGUAAAGGGUGCGUAGGCGGGUCUUUAAGUCAGGGGUGAAAUCCUGGAGCUCAACUCCAGAACUGCCUUUGAUACUGAAGAUCUUGAGUCCGGGAGAGGUGAGUGGAACUGCGAGUGUAGAGGUGAAAUUCGUAGAUAUUCGGAAAGAACACCAGUGGCGAAGGCGACUCGCUGGACAAGUAUUGACGCUGAGGUGCGAAAGCGUGGGAGCA
rnacentral:rRNA from 1 species